GAUGAACGCUGGCGGCGUGCCUAAUACAUGCAAGUCGAGCGAGCAGACGAGGAGCUUGCUCCUCUGACGUUAGCGGCGGACGGGUGAGUAACACGUGGAUAACCUACCUAUAAGACUGGGAUAACUUCGUGAAACCGGAGCUAAUACCGGAUAAUAUAUUUAACCGCAUGGUUCAAUAGUGAAAGACGGUUUUGCUGUCACUUAUAGAUGGAUCCGCGCCGCAUUAGCUAGUUGGUAAGGUAACGGCUUACCAAGGCAACGAUGCGUAGCCGACCUGAGAGGGUGAUCGGCAACACUGGAACUGAGACAAGGUCCAGACUCCUACGGGAGGCAGCAGUAGGGAAUCUUCCGCAAUGGGCGAAAGCCUGACGGAGCAAAGCCGCGUGAGUGAUGAAGGUCUUCGGAUCGUAAAACUCUGUUAUUAGGGAAGAACAAAUGUGUAAGUAACUAUGCACGUCUUGACGGUACCUAAUCAGAAAGCCACGGCUAACUACGUG
rnacentral:rRNA from 1 species